rnacentral:rRNA from 1 species
CCUACGGGUUGCAGCAGUGGGGAAUAUUGGACAAUGGGCAAAAGCCUGAUCCAGCAAUGCCGCGUAUGUGAAGAAGGUCUUCGGAUUGUAAAGCACUUUCGACGGGAACGAUAAUGACGGUACCCGUAGAAGAAGCCCCGGCUAACUUCGUGCCAGCAGCCGCGGUAAUACGAAGGGGGCUAGCGUUGUUCGGAAUUACUGGGCGUAAAGCGCGCGUAGGCGGAUAAAUAAGUCAGAGGUGAAAUCCCGGGGCUCAACCCCGGAAUUGCCUUUGAUACUGUUUAUCUUGAGUGCAGAAGAGGUAAGUGGAAUUCCGAGUGUAGAGGUGAAAUUCGUAGAUAUUCGGAGGAACACCAGUGGCGAAGGCGGCUUACUGGUCUGCAACUGACGCUGAGGCGCAAAAGCGUGGGGAGCAAACAGGAUUAGAUACCCUUGUAGUC